UCGUAUCGGUUUAGCUCCAAAUUUUAGUGCCUCAUAAUUUGUGGGGUUCCUACACAGAAUAAACAAGAAUUGUUUUGCAUUUAAUUAAUUAAUAAAAACUAAAUAAAAUAAUUAAAAAUAAAAAUCAUCCAAAUUAAAAUUAUACAAUCUAAAUAAAUUAAACUAAGUAAAAUUUCAAAAUAUUUAAUCAAAAUCAGAUUCCAAUUGAUCCCAUACAAUGAUCGAGUCUAUCCCACGACCCGCAACCUCCUCGGUGGCUUACCUCCUCGCGGAUUGGGUCUGGUUGCUUUGGCUCGGGUUGCAAAAUUGGAUGCCUCUGAUGGAUGGUUGUUUCGGUAGGAACACGUUGUCAAAGUUGUGGUCUAACUCUUCUCCUUCUUCCUUAGCAUCCAAUUCUCCUUCCUCCUCCCCUUCCUCAUAUUUGGCUUGCACGAAAAAUCGCGUGGAAGGGUAUCAGUUCGGUGACGGAUUAGGUACGUAGAUACCAUACCUCUGAGUGUAGUCAAUGCCCACCGGUGUCAUUACUUUUAUCCAUUGGAUUACCCACUCUAUGUCAAUCAUAUCACUGGACCCAUGG
rnacentral:lncRNA from 1 species